AUCAUGGCUCAGGAUGAACGCUGACAGAAUGCUUAACACAUGCAAGUCUACUUGAAUUUGGGUUUUUUAACUUAGAUUUGGGUGGCGGACGGGUGAGUAACGCGUAAAGAACUUGCCUCACAGCUAGGGACAACAUUUGGAAACGAAUGCUAAUACCUGAUAUUAUGAUUUUAAGGCAUCUUAGAAUUAUGAAAGCUAUACGCGCUGUGAGAGAGCUUUGCGUCCCAUUAGCUAGUUGG
rnacentral:rRNA from 1 species